rnacentral:rRNA from 3 species
UGGCGACCAUAGCAAGAGUGAACCACCUGAUCCCUUCCCGAACUCAGAAGUGAAACCUCUUAGCGCUGAUGGUAGUGUGGGGUCUCCCAUGUGAGAGUAAGUCAUCGCCAGCUC